GGGCUUGUACUGGUUUCGACGGGGGUUAUGAAGUUGGAGCAGCCAUUCGCAGACCAGGACUGCGUAAUAACUUGGACUUAAAUAUAAACGCAGACGAAAAUUUAGCGUACGCUGCUUAAUUAAUGCAGCUGUCAGCCUUAAGUCACUCACAGCUUAAGAAUCUGGCAUCAAACUAUGUGGGACACUCAUGUGCCUAAGCUUUGCGGUGCAUGAAGUAAUAUGAAGCUACUGAAGUAAAAAGCCUGUCGCUGGGCGUUUUACGGAGGGAAUGUAAAAAUAGCGACUGUAAUGGGAGAUACUCGAAUGGAUUGGCUUUCGGACAGGGGUUCGAUUCCCCUCAGGUCCAUUA
rnacentral:tmRNA from 2 species